rnacentral:rRNA from 1 species
UCCAGACUCCUACGGGAGGCAGCAGUGGGGGAUAUUGCACAAUGGGGGGAACCCUGAUGCAGCGACGCCGCGUGGGUGAAGAAGUAUUUCGGUAUGUAAAGCCCUAUCGGCAGGGAAGAAAUUGGACGGUACCCGACUAAGAAGCCCCGGCUAACUACGUGCCAGCAGCCGCGGCAAUACGUAGGGGGCAAGCGUUAUCCGGAUUUACUGGGUGUAAAGGGCGUGUAGCCGGGUUGACAAGUCAGAUGUGAAAUCCUGCGGCUUAACCGCAGAACUGCAUUUGAAACUGUUGAUCUUGAGUACUGGAGAGGCAGACGGAAUUCCUAGUGUAGCGGUGAAAUGCGUAGAUAUAAGGAGGAACACCAGUGGCGAAGGCGGUCUGCUGGGCAGCAACUGACGGUGAGGCGCGAAAGCGUGGGGAGCAAACAGGAUUAGAUACCCUAGUAA